GACGAACGCUGGCGGCGUGCUUAACACAUGCAAGUCGAACGGAAAGGCCCUGCUUUUGUGGGGUGCUCGAGUGGCGAACGGGUGAGUAACACGUGAGUAACCUGCCCUUGACUUUGGGAUAACUUCAGGAAACUGGGGCUAAUACCGGAUAGGAGCUCCUGCUGCAUGGUGGGGGUUGGAAAGUUUCGGCGGUUGGGGAUGGACUCGCGGCUUAUCAGCUUGUUGGUGGGGUAGUGGCUUACCAAGGCUUUGACGGGUAGCCGGCCUGAGAGGGUGACCGGCCACAUUGGGACUGAGAUACGGCCCAGACUGCUACGGGAGGCAGCAGUGGGGAAGAUUGCACAAUGGGCGGAAGCCUGAGGCAGCAACGCCGCGUGCGGGAUGACGGCCUUCGGGUUGUAAACCGCUUUCGCCUGUGACGAAGCGUGAGUGACGGUAAUGGGUAAAGAAGCACCGGCUAACUACGUG
rnacentral:rRNA from 1 species